AGCCUACGGGAGGCAGCAGUGGGGAAUAUUGCACAAUGGGGGAAACCCUGAUGCAGCGACGCCGCGUGAGUGAAGAAGUAAUUCGUUAUGUAAAGCUCUAUCAGCAGGGAAGAAAAUGACGGUACCUGAGUAAGAAGCCCCGGCUAACUACGUGCCAGCAGCCGCGGUAAUACGUAGGGGGCAAGCGUUAUCCGGAUUUACUGGGUGUAAAGGGAGCGUAGACGGCAUAGCAAGUCUGAAGUGAAAGCCCGUGGCUCAACCGCGGAACUGCUUUGGAAACUGUUAAGCUGGAGUACUGGAGAGGG
rnacentral:rRNA from 1 species